GACGAACGCUUGCGGCGUGCUUAACACAUGCAAGUCGAACGGAAAGGCCCUGCUUUUGUGGGGUGCUCGAGUGGCGAACGGGUGAGUAACACGUGAGUAACCUGCCCUUGACUUUGGGAUAACUUCAGGAAACUGGGGCUAAUACCGGAUAGGAGCUCCUGCUGCAUGGUGGGGGUUGGAAAGUUUCGGCGGUUGGGGAUGGACUCGCGGCUUAUCAGCUUGUUGGUGGGGUAGUGGCUUACCAAGGCUUUGACGGGUAGCCGGCCUGAGAGGGUGACCGGCCACAUUGGGACUGAGAUACGGCCCAGACUCCUACGGGAGGCAGCAGUGGGGAAUAUUGCACAAUGGGCGGAAGCCUGAUGCAGCAACGCCGCGUGCGGGAUGACGGCCUUCGGGUUGUAAACCGCUUUCGCCUGUGACGAAGCGUGAGUGACGGUAAUGGGUAAAGAAGCACCGGCUAACUACGUGCCAGCAGCCGCGGUGAUACGUAGGGUGCGAGCGUUGUCCGGAUUUAUUGGGCGUAAAGGGCUCGUAGGUGGUUGAUCGCGUCGGAAGUGUAAUCUUGGGGCUUAACCCUGAGCGUGCUUUCGAUACGGGUUGACUUGAGGAAGGUAGGGGAGAAUGGAAUUCCUGGUGGAGCGGUGGAAUGCGCAGAUAUCAGGAGGAACACCAGUGGCGAAGGCGGUUCUCUGGGCCUUUCCUGACGCUGAGGAGCAAAAGCGUGGGGAGCGAACAGGCUUAGAUACCCUGGUAGUCCACGCUGUAAACGGUGGGUACUAGGUGUGGGGUCCAUUCCACGGGUUCCGUGCCGUAGCUAACGCUUUAAGUACCCCGCCUGGGGAGUACGGCCGCAAGGCUAAAACUCAAAGGAAUUGACGGGGCCCCGCACAAGCGGCGGAGCAUGCGGAUUAAUUCGAUGCAACGCGUAGAACCUUACCUGGGUUUGACAUGGAUCGGGAGUGCUCAGAGAUGGGUGUGCCUCUUUUGGGGUCGGUUCACAGGUGGUGCAUGCCUGUCGUCAGCUCGUGUCGUGAGAUGUUGGGUUAAGUCCCGCAACGAGCGCAACCCUUGUUCACUGUUGCCAGCACGUUAUGGUGGGGACUCAGUGGAGACCGCCGGGGUCAACUCGGAGGAAGGUGGGGAUGACGUCAAGUCAUCAUGCCCCUUAUGUCCAGGGCUUCACGCAUGCUACAAUGGCUGGUACAGAGAGUGGCGAGCCUGUGAGGGUGAGCGAAUCUCGGAAAGCCGGUCUCAGUUCGGAUUGGGGUCUGCAACUCGACCUCAUGAAGUCGGAGUCGCUAGUAAUCGCAGAUCAGCAACGCUGCGGUGAAUACGUUCCCGGGGCU
rnacentral:rRNA from 1 species